GAAGAUGUAGCUCAGCGGCAGAGUCUCUGAUUUACAUGCAGAAGGUCCCAGGUUCGAUCCUUGGCAUCUCCA